rnacentral:rRNA from 1 species
GUACACUCCUGCGGGAGGCAGCAGUGGGGAAUAUUGGACAAUGGGCGCAAGCCUGAUCCAGCCAUGCCGCGUGAGUGAUGAAGGCCCUAGGGUUGUAAAGCUCUUUCACCGGUGAAGAUAAUGACGGUAACCGGAGAAGAAGCCCCGGCUAACUUCGUGCCAGCAGCCGCGGUAAUACGAAGGGGGCUAGCGUUGUUCGGAUUUACUGGGCGUAAAGCGCACGUAGGCGGACUAUUAAGUCAGGGGUGAAAUCCCAGGGCUCAACCCCUGAACUGCCUUUGAUACUGGUAGUCUUGAGUUCGAGAGAGGUGAGUGGAAUUCCGAGUGUAGAGGUGAAAUUCGUAGAUAUUCGGAGGAACACCAGUGGCGAAGGCGGCUCACUGGCUCGAUACUGACGCUGAGGUGCGAAAGCGUGGGGAGCAAACAGGAUUAGAAACCCCAGUAGUCCCA